rnacentral:rRNA from 1 species
GACGAACGCUGGCGGCGUGCUUAACACAUGCAAGUCGAACGGAAAGGCCCUGCUUGCAGGGUACUCGAGUGGCGAACGGGUGAGUAACACGCGGGUGAACUGCCCUCCACUUCGGGAUAAGCCUGGGAGGCAGGGUGUAAUACCGGCUAGGAGCCAUUUUUAGUGUGAUGGUUGGAAAGUUUUUUCGGUGUUGGCUGAGCUCGCGGCCUAUCAGCUUGUUGGUGGGGUUAUGGCCUACCAAAGCGGCGGCGGGUAGCCGGCCUGAGUGGGUGGACGGCCACAUUGGGUCUGAGAUGCGGCCCAGACUCCUACGGGAGGCAGCAGUGGGGAAGAUUGCACGAUGGGCGCAAGCCUGAUGCAGCGACGCCGCGUGGGGGAUGACUGCCUUCGGGUUGUAAACUACUUUCGCAAGUGACGAAGCUUUUUGUGACGGUACCUAGAUAAGAAGCACCGGCUAACUACGUG